UACGGAGGGUGCAAGCGUUAAUCGGAAUUACUGGGCGUAAAGCGUGCGCAGGCGGUUUUGUAAGCCAGAUGUGAAAUCCCCGGGCUUAACCUGGGAAUGGCAUUUGGGACUGCAAGGCUUGAGUUUGGCAGAGGAGACUGGAAUUCCUGGUGUAGCAGUGAAAUGCGUAGAUAUCAGGAGGAAUACCGAUGGCGAAGGCAGGUCUCUGGGCUAGAACUGACGCUCAUGCACGAAAGCGUGGGGAGCAAACAGG
rnacentral:rRNA from 1 species